UCGCUUCAGAUCGAAAUGAAACAAAAAUUAAAUAUUUUCCUACGUGUUACGGCAAUUUCUUUUUCCGUUCAUUUUAUUCAAUCUUUUUUCGUUCACGAUGGAAUCUCGAUAACACAACCGACGUACAUUCUGACCUAUAUCGCGACUCGUCACCAGGAUGGAAUCUGGCGCAGAUUGCUCGAUUUCACAAAAAUCACUCUCUUAUAUGUUUACGCUCGUCUAUCGAGCAUCAGGCCAUAAUAAUAAUAUCUACUGAUACUAUGAGAACGAGAAUUUUAUGUGAAUGAAUUUUUAGUAUUGGAAACACCAACACCGUUAAAAACGAAUGAUUAUGAUAGGUUACCAAAG